rnacentral:tRNA from 1 species
GGCGGAUGUAGCCAAGUGGAUCAAGGCAGUGGAUUUGAAUCCACAUGCGCG